rnacentral:rRNA from 1 species
UAAGCCUGUGAAGGUGGCCUGUGAGGGUUGCUGGAGGUAUCAGAAGUGCGAAUGCUGACAUAAGUAACGAUAAAGCGGGUGAAAAGCCCGCUCGCCGGAAGACCAAGGGUUCCUGUCCAACGUUAAUCGGGGCAGGGUGAGUCGACCCCUAAGGCGAGGCCGAAAGGCGUAGUCGAUGGGAAACGGGUUAAUAUUCCCGUACUUGGUGUUACUGCGAAGGGGGGACGGAGAAGGCUAUGUUGGCCGGGCGACGGUUGUCCCGGUUUAAGCGUGUAGGUGUGUGUUCCAGGUAAAUCCGGUUCACUUUAACACUGAGGCGUGACGACGAGGCACUACGGUGCUGAAGCAACAAAUGCCCUGCUUCCAGGAAAAGCCUCUAAGCAUCAGGUAACAUCAAAUCGUACCCCAAACCGACACAGGUGGUCAGGUAGAGAAUACCAAGGCGCUUGAGAGAACUCGGGUGAAGGAACUAGGCAAAAUGGUGCCGUAACUUCGGGAGAAGGCACGCUGACACGUAGGUGAAGUGAUUUACUCACGGAGCUGAAGUCAGUCGAAGAUACCAGCUGGCUGCAACUGUUUAUUAAAAACACAGCACUGUGCAAACACGAAAGUGGACGUAUACGGUGUGACGCCUGCCCGGUGCCGGAAGGUUAAUUGAUGGGGUCAGCGCAAGCGAAGCUCCUGAUCGAAGCCCCGGUAAACGGCGGCCGUAACUAUAACGGUCCUAAGGUAGCGAAAUUCCUUGUCGGGUAAGUUCCGACCUGCACGAAUGGCGUAAUGAUGGCCAGGCUGUCUCCACCCGAGACUCAGUGAAAUUGAACUCGCUGUGAAGAUGCAGUGUACCCGCGGCAAGACGGAAAGACCCCGUGAACCUUUACUAUAGCUUGACACUGAACAUUGAGCCUUGAUGUGUAGGAUAGGUGGGAGGCUUUGAAGUGUGGACGCCAGUCUGCAUGGAGCCGACCUUGAAAUACCACCCUUUAAUGUUUGAUGUUCUAACGUGGACCCGUAAUCCGGGUUGCGGACAGUGUCUGGUGGGUAGUUUGACUGGGGCGGUCUCCUCCUAAAGAGUAACGGAGGAGCACGAAGGUUGGCUAAUCCUGGUCGGACAUCAGGAGGUUAGUGCAAUGGCAUAAGCCAGCUUGACUGCGAGCGUGACGGCGCGAGCAGGUGCGAAAGCAGGUCAUAGUGAUCCGGUGGUUCUGAAUGGAAGGGCCAUCGCUCAACGGAUAAAAGGUACUCCGGGGAUAACAGGCUGAUACCGCCCAAGAGUUCAUAUCGACGGCGGUGUUUGGCACCUCGAUGUCGGCUCAUCACAUCCUGGGGCUGAAGUAGGUCCCAAGGGUAUGGCUGUUCGCCAUUUAAAGUGGUACGCGAGCUGGGUUUAGAACGUCGUGAGACAGUUCGGUCCCUAUCUGCCGUGGGCGCUGGAGAACUGAGGGGGGCUGCUCCUAGUACGAGAGGACCGGAGUGGACGCAUCACUGGUGUUCGGGUUGUCAUGCCAAUGGCACUGCCCGGUAGCUAAAUGCGGAAGAGAUAAGUGCUGAAAGCAUCUAAGCACGAAACUUGCCCCGAGAUGAGUUCUCCCUGAGACUUAGAGUCUCCUGAAGGAACGUUGAAGACGACGACGUUGAUAGGCCGGGUGUGUAAGCGCAGCGAUGCGUUGAGCUAACCGGUACUAAUGAACCGUGAGGCUUAACCUUACA